rnacentral:rRNA from 1 species
CAGCAGCCGCGGUAAUACGGAGGAUGCGAGCGUUAUCCGGAUUUAUUGGGUUUAAAGGGUGCGCAGGCGGGAUCUUAAGUCAGCGGUGAAAUUUUCAGGCUCAACCUGAACACUGCCGUUGAAACUGGGAUUCUUGAGUAUAGAUGAAGUAGGCGGAAUUCGUUGUGUAGCGGUGACAUGCUUAGAUAUAACGAGGAACUCCAAUUGCGUAGGCAGCUUACUAAGCUAUAACUGACGCUCAAGCACGAAAGCGUGGGGAUCAAACAGGAUUAGAUACCCUGGUAGUCCACGCCGUAAACGAUGAUUACUAGUUGUUUGUGAUAUAUUAUAAGUGACUAAGCGAAAGCGAUAAGUAAUCCACCUGGGGAGUACGCCGGCAACGGUGAAACUCAAAGGAAUUGAC